GUGGGGAAUAUUGGGCAAUGGGCGAAAGCCUGACCCAGCAACGCCGCGUGAGGGAAGAAGGCCUUCGGGUUGUAAACCUCUGUCCUUGGUGACGAAACAAAUGACGGUAGCCAAGGAGGAAGCCCCGGCUAACUACGUGCCAGCAGCCGCGGUAAUACGUAGGGGGCGAGCGUUGUCCGGAAUUACUGGGCGUAAAGGGUGCGUAGGUGGCCUUUUAAGUUGGAUGUGAAAUACCCGGGCUUAACUUGGGGGGUGCAUCUAAUACUGGAGGGCUAGAGUGCAGGAGAGGGAAGCGGAAUUCCUAGUGUAGCGGUGAAAUGCGUAGAUAUUAGGAGGAAUACCAGUGGCGAAAGCGGCUUUCUGGACGACAACUGACGCUGAGGCGCGAAAGCCAGGGGAGCGAACGGGAUUAGAUACCCCUGUAGUCC
rnacentral:rRNA from 1 species